rnacentral:rRNA from 1 species
CACGAAACUUGCCCCGAGAUGAGUUCUCCCUGACUCCUUGAGAGUCCUGAAGGAACGUUGAAGACGACGACGUUGAUAGGCCGGAUGUGUAAGCGCAGCGAUGCGUUGAGCUAACCGGUACUAAUGAACCGUGAGGCUUAACCUUACAACGCCGAAGGUGUUU